rnacentral:misc_RNA from 1 species
AAGUCGUAACAAGGUUUCCGUAGGUGAACCUGCGGAAGGAUCAUUAUUGAAAACAAGGGUGUCCAAUUUAACUUGGAACCCAAACUUCUCAAUUCUAACUUUGUGCAUCUGUAUUAGCGGCGAGCAACUUCGGUUGUGAGCCUUCACUUACAAAACACUAGUCUAUGAAUGUAAAAUUUUUAUAACAAAUAAAA